GCUGCCAGAAACCCAUUCCAGCAUCCAUCCAAUGCAAUACUUACCAGGAGCUCAUCCUCAGCUCUGGUAGUAUAUGAGGUUUUUAAUACACUAGGGUAAAGGAAGAAAUGUUAGCAUCUUCCACAUUUCUUCUCCGCCAUUUGGAGCGACACAGACCUCUGACUUCUCUGGUGAGAACGACUAUGUAUGACCUCUAGAAUGCAAGAUAAAUAGUUUGCAAGGCUAGAUUCGAAGCCCGCCACUCAAGUAGCAGUUCCGCUGCUCUUAGUCCUGCUGCAGUCUUAAGGAUACCUUUAUCAACACCUCACCCAGCUGUUUGGUCAGAACUGCUGCCCUGCAUAUACUGAGGAGAAGGAGCAGGAACUAUAAACUGUGGUUGUGCUGGAACA
rnacentral:misc_RNA from 1 species